UAGCCCUAAAUCUCGAUGUUCCCUUCCCCUACACGAACAUCCGCCCGAGAACUACGAGCACAAACGCUUAAAACUCUAAGGACUUGGCGGUACCCUAAACCCACCUAGAGGAGCCUGUUCUAUAAUCGAUAACCCACGAUACACCCAACCACUUCUUGCCAGAACCAGCCUACAUACCGCCGUCGCCAGCCCACCUCCGUGAGAGUACAACAGUGAGCCUAAUAGCCCACAACCCGCUAGCAAGACAGGUCAAGGUAUAGCCCACGAAGUGGAAGAAAUGGGCUACAUUUUCUAAAAUAGAAAACCAACGGAAGGGGACCUGAAACCCACCCCAGAAGGCGGAUUUAGCAGUAAAGAGGGACAAUCAAGCCCUCUUUAAACCGGCCCUAGGGUACGUACAUA
rnacentral:rRNA from 1 species